UGCCAGCAGCCGCGGUAAUACGUAGGGUGCAAGCGUUAUCCGGAAUCAUUGGGCGUAAAGCGUCUGUAGGUGGUAUGCUAAGUCAGAUAUUAAAUUCCAGGGCUCAACCCUGGAGCUGUGUUUGAAACUGGCAAACUAGAGGUUUAUAGAGGUAAGUGGAAUUCCCGGUGUAGGGGUAAAAUCCGUAGAUAUCGGGAGGAACACCAAAAGCGAAGGCAGCUUACUGGAAUAAACCUGACACUGAGAGACGAAAGCGUGGGGAGCAAACAGGAUUAGAUA
rnacentral:rRNA from 1 species